UACGUAGGGUGCAAGCGUUGUCCGGAAUUAUUGGGCGUAAAGAGCUCGUAGGCGGUCUGUCGCGUCUGCUGUGAAAACUCGGGGCUUAACCCCGGGCCUGCAGUGGGUACGGGCAGACUAGAGUGCGGUAGGGGAGACUGGAAUUCCUGGUGUAGCGGUGAAAUGCGCAGAUAUCGAGAGGAACACCUGCGGCGAAGGCGGGUUGCUGGGCUGACACUGACGCUGAUGCGCGAAAGCUAGGGGAGCGAACGGG
rnacentral:rRNA from 1 species